CAGCCCCAGGAUUAGGCUGUUAUCUCUGUUUACCAACAGGAAGAGACACUCGGUGGAGGAUUCAAGCUGAUACAGGAGCCGUGGAUUGCCACCUGCCUCUUCUCCUAUGCCUGUCAUGAGUACACACACCAGUCCUGUCUGCUGGCCAAGCCCCCUUGCUCCCAGAUGGAGACUUGCCCUGUUGCCCAGACUGGAAUCCAGUGGCACAAUCUCGGCUCACUGCAGCCUCCACCUCCCAGGUUCCAGUGAUUCCACUGCCUCAGCCUCCCGGGUAGCUGGGAUUACAGGCACACACCACCACGCCCAGCUAAUUUUUGUAUUUGUAGUAGAGAUAGGGUUUCACAAGUUGGCCAAGCUGGUCUCGAACUCCUGACCUCAGGUGAUCCAGCCACCUUGGCCUCCCAAAGUGCUAGGAUUACAGGCGUGAGCCACUGCGCCCAGCCAGGGCUCCAUACUUCUAUAUUUGAGUCCUUGUGGAUGAACUGCAACCUAGCUUAAUAGGUAGACAAGAUUGAAAACCUAACUUAGGAGUAUGCGCCCGGAACAAUAGCUGAGUCUUGGCCAAGCCCAGCGGCCGUACUUCAACCACUCAUAUGCUGCUGAGUCUUUAAGCUGUGUUCAAAUAAGGCAAACACCAUACUGCAACCAAUCCAGCCAUCCUGUACCUCACUUCCAAUUUCUGUACAUCAUUUCCCUUUCUUUGUCUAUAAAUCUUCUUCCACCACGUGGCUGCAUGGUAGUCUCUGCUGUGACUCUGGGGGCUGCCCGAUUUGCGAAUCGUUCAUUGCUCAAUUAAACUCCU
rnacentral:lncRNA from 10 species